GGUUAAGCGACUAAGCGUACACGGUGGAUGCCCUGGCAGUCAGAGGCGAUGAAGGACGUGCUAAUCUGCGAAAAGCGCCGGCGAGGUGAUAUGAACCCUUGACCCGGCGAUGUCCGAAUGGGGAAACCCAGUGUGAUUCGUCACACUAUCGUUAACUGAAUACAUAGGUUAACGAGGCGAACCGGGGGAACUGAAACAUCUAAGUACCCCGAGGAAAAGAAAUCAACCGAGAUUCCCCCAGUAGCGGCGAGCGAACGGGGAGCAGCCCGGAGUCUGAAUCAGCUUGUGUGUUAGUGGAACGGUCUGGAAAGUCCGACGGUACAGGGUGAUAGUCCCGUACACGAAAGCACACUUGCUGUGAACUCGAAGAGUAGGGCGGGACACGUGGUAUCCUGUCUGAAUAUGGGGGGGACCAUCCUCCAAGGCUAAAUACUCCUGACUGACCGAUAGUGAACCAGUACCGUGAGGGAAAGGCGAAAAGAACCCCGGCGAGGGGAGUGAAAAAGAACCUGAAACCGUGUACGUACAAGCAGUGGGAGCACCUUCGUGGUGUGACUGCGUACCUUUUGUAUAAUGGGUCAGCGACUUAUAUUCUGUAGCAAGGUUAACCGUAUAGGGGAGCCGAAGGGAAACCGAGUCUUAACUGGGCGUUAAGUUGCAGGGUAUAGACCCGAAACCCGGUGAUCUAGCCAUGGGCAGGUUGAAGGUUGGGUAACACUAACUGGAGGACCGAACCGACUAAUGUUGAAAAAUUAGCGGAUGACCUGUGGCUGGGGGUGAAAGGCCAAUCAAACCGGGAGAUAGCUGGUUCUCCCCGAAAGCUAUUUAGGUAGCGCCUCGUGAACUCAUCUUCGGGGGUAGAGCACUGUUUCGGCUAGGGGGCCAUCCCGGCUUACCAACCCGAUGCAAACUACGAAUACCGAAGAAUGUUAUCACGGGAGACACACGGCGGGUGCUAACGUCCGUCGUGAAGAGGGAAACAACCCAGACCGCCAGCUAAGGUCCCAAAGUCAUGGUUAAGUGGGAAACGAUGUGGGAAGGCACAGACAGCCAGGAUGUUGGCUUAGAAGCAGCCAUCAUUUAAAGAAAGCGUAAUAGCUCACUGGUCGAGUCGGCCUGCGCGGAAGAUGUAACGGGGCUAAACCAUGCACCGAAGCUGCGGCAGCGACACUAUGUGUUGUUGGGUAGGGGAGCGUUCUGUAAGCCGUUGAAGGUGUGCUGUGAGGCAUGCUGGAGGUAUCAGAAGUGCGAAUGCUGACAUAAGUAACGAUAAAGCGGGUGAAAAGCCCGCUCGCCGGAAGACCAAGGGUUCCUGUCCAACGUUAAUCGGGGCAGGGUGAGUCGACCCCUAAGGCGAGGCCGAAAGGCGUAGUCGAUGGGAAACAGGUUAAUAUUCCUGUACUUGGUGUUACUGCGAAGGGGGGACGGAGAAGGCUAUGUCAGCCGGGCGACGGUUGUCCCGGUUUAAGCAUGUAGGCGGAGGUUCCAGGUAAAUCCGGUACCUUAUUAACGCUGAGGUGUGAUGACGAGGCACUACGGUGCUGAAGUGAUAAAUGCCCUGCUUCCAGGAAAAGCCUCUAAGCAUCAGGUAACACGAAAUCGUACCCCAAACCGACACAGGUGGUCAGGUAGAGAAUACCAAGGCGCUUGAGAGAACUCGGGUGAAGGAACUAGGCAAAAUGGUGCCGUAACUUCGGGAGAAGGCACGCUGAUGUGUAGGUGAAGUCCCUGCGGACGGAGCUGAAAUCAGUCGAAGAUACCAGCUGGCUGCAACUGUUUAUUAAAAACACAGCACUGUGCAAACACGAAAGUGGACGUAUACGGUGUGACGCCUGCCCGGUGCCGGAAGGUUAAUUGAUGGGGUUAGCUGUAAGGCGAAGCUCUUGAUCGAAGCCCCGGUAAACGGCGGCCGUAACUAUAACGGUCCUAAGGUAGCGAAAUUCCUUGUCGGGUAAGUUCCGACCUGCACGAAUGGCGUAAUGAUGGCCAGGCUGUCUCCACCCGAGACUCAGUGAAAUUGAACUCGCUGUGAAGAUGCAGUGUACCCGCGGCAAGACGGAAAGACCCCGUGAACCUUUACUAUAGCUUGACACUGAACACUGGUCCUUGAUGUGUAGGAUAGGUGGGAGGCUUUGAAGCGUGGACGCCAGUCUGCGUGGAGCCGCCCUUGAAAUACCACCCUUUAAUGGCUGGUGUUCUAACGUAGACCCGUAAUCCGGGUUGCGGACAGUGUCUGGUGGGUAGUUUGACUGGGGCGGUCUCCUCCCAAAGAGUAACGGAGGAGCACGAAGGUUGGCUAAUCCUGGUCGGACAUCAGGAGGUUAGUGCAAUGGCAUAAGCCAGCUUGACUGCGAGCGUGACGGCGCGAGCAGGUGCGAAAGCAGGUCAUAGUGAUCCGGUGGUUCUGAAUGGAAGGGCCAUCGCUCAACGGAUAAAAGGUACUCCGGGGAUAACAGGCUGAUACCGCCCAAGAGUUCAUAUCGACGGCGGUGUUUGGCACCUCGAUGUCGGCUCAUCACAUCCUGGGGCUGAAGUAGGUCCCAAGGGUAUGGCUGUUCGCCAUUUAAAGUGGUACGCGAGCUGGGUUUAGAACGUCGUGAGACAGUUCGGUCCCUAUCUGCCGUGGGCGCUGGAGAAUUGAGGGGGGCUGCUCCUAGUACGAGAGGACCGGAGUGGACGCAUCACUGGUGUUCGGGUUGUCAUGCCAAUGGCACUGCCCGGUAGCUAAAUGCGGAAGAGAUAAGUGCUGAAAGCAUCUAAGCACGAAACUUGCCCCGAGAUGAGUUCUCCCUGAGACUUUAAGUCUCCUGAAGGAACGUUGAAGACGACGACGUUGAUAGGUCGGGUGUGUAAGCGCAGCGAUGCGUUGAGCUAACCGAUACUAAUGAACCGUGAGGCUUAACCUU
rnacentral:rRNA from 1 species